rnacentral:rRNA from 1 species
UACGUAGGGUGCAAGCGUUGUCCGGAAUUAUUGGGCGUAAAGAGCUCGUAGGCGGCUUGUUGCGUCGACCGUGAAAACCCGCGGCUUAACUGCGGGCUUGCGGUUGAUACGGGCGGGCUGGAGUUCGGUAGGGGAGACUGGAAUUCCUGGUGUAGCGGCGAAAUGCGCAGAUAUCAGGAGGAACACCGGUGGCGAAGGCGGGUCUCUGGGCCGAAAUUGACGCUGAGGAGCGAAAGCGUGGGGAGCAAACAGG